rnacentral:rRNA from 1 species
GACGAACGCUGGCGGCGUGCUUAACACAUGCAAGUCGAACGGAAAGGCCCUGCUUUUGUGGGGUGCUCGAGUGGCGAACGGGUGAGUAACACGUGAGUAACCUGCCCUUGACUUUGGGAUAACUUCAGGAAACUGGGGCUAAUACCGGAUAGGAGCUCCUGCUGCAUGGUGGGGGUUGGAAAGUUUCGGCGGUUGGGGAUGGACUCGCGGCUUAUCAGCUUGUUGGUGGGGUAGUGGCUUACCAAGGCUUUGACGGGUAGCCGGCCUGAGAGGGUGACCGGCCACAUUGGGACUGAGAUACGGCCCAGACUCCUACGGGAGGCAGCAGUGGGGAAUAUUGAACAAUGGGCGCAAGCCUGAUCCAGCCAUACCGCGUGGGUGAAGAAGGCCUUCGGGUUGUAAAGCCCUUUUGUUGGGAAAGAAAAGCAGCAGGUUAAUACCCCGCUGUUCUGACGGUACCCAAAGAAUAAGCACCGGCUAACUUCGUG